rnacentral:rRNA from 1 species
GAACGUACGCUGGCGGCACGCCUAACACAUGCAAGUCGAACGAAGUAGCAAUACUUAGUGGCAGACGGGUGAGUAACAUGUAGGUAUCUGCCCUUUGGCCUGGAAUAACACGAGGAAACUUGUGCUAAUACCGGAUAAGUCUUUACGGAGAAAGCUUUAUGCACCAUUGGAUGAGCCUGCACUUGAUUAGUUUGUUGGUGGGGUAAUGGCCUACCAAGACUGUGAUCAAUAGCUGAUUUGAGAGGAUGAUCAGCCACAUUGGGACUGAGACACGGUCCAAACUCCUACGGGAGGCAGCAGUAGGGAAUCUUGCACAAUGGAGGAAACUCUGAUGCAGCGAUGCCGCGUGAGUGAAGAAGGCCUUUGGGUUGUAAAGCUCUUUCGUCGGGGAAGAAAAUGACUGUACCCGAAUAAGAAGGUCCGGCUAACUUCGUGCCAGCAGCCGCGGUAAUACGAAGGGACCUAGCGUAGUUCGGAAUUACUGGGCUUAAAGAGUUCGUAGGUGGUUAAAAAAGUUGGUGGUGAAAUCCCAGAGCUUAACUCUGGAACUGCCAUCAAAACUUUUUAGCUAGAGUAUGAUAGAGGAAAGCAGAAUUUCUAGUGUAGAGGUGAAAUUCGUAGAUAUUAGAAAGAAUACCGAUUGCGAAGGCAGCUUUCUGGAUCAUUACUGACACUGAGGAACGAAAGCAUGGGUAGCGAAGAGGAUUAGAUACCCUCGUAGUCCAUGCCGUAAACGAUGUGUGUUAGACGUUGGAAAUUUAUUUUCAGUGUCGCAGCGAAAGCGAUAAACACACCGCCUGGGGAGUACGACCGCAAGGUUAAAACUCAAAUGAAUUGACGGGGACCCGCACAAGUAGUGGAGCAUGUGGUUUAAUUCGAAGAUACGCGCAGAACCUUACCAACACUUGACAUGUUCGUCGCGACUCUAAGAGAUUAGAGUUUUCGGUUCGGCCGGACGAAACACAGGUGCUGCAUGGCUGUCGUCAGCUCGUGUCGUGAGAUGUUGGGUUAAGUCCCGCAACGAGCGCAACCCUCACUUUUAGUUGCCAUCAUUAAGUUGGGCACUCUGAAAGAACUGCCAGUGAUAAGCUGGAGGAAGGUGGGGAUGACGUCAAGUCCUCAUGGCCCUUACGUGUUGGGCUACACACGUGCUACAAUGGUAUCUACAACAGGAAGCAAAACAGCGAUGUUAAGCAAAUCCCCAAAAGAUACCUCAGUUCGGAUUGCACUCUGCAACUCGAGUGCAUGAAGCUGGAAUUACUAGUAAUCGUGGAUCAGCGUGCCACGGUGAAUGCGUUCCCGGGUCUUGUACACACCGC